rnacentral:rRNA from 1 species
GNNNAGAGGAAGGAUUGACAGAUUGAUAGCUCUUUCUUGAUUCUUUGGGUGGUGGUGCAUGGCCGUUCUUAGUUGGUGGAGUGAUUUGUCUGGUUAAUUCCGUUAACGAACGAGACCUUAACCUGCUAAAUAGGGUACGGGAAUAGGCUUCGGCUGUCCCGUGAUCGCUUCUUAGAGGGACUUUGCGGUUAUAAAUCGCAAGGAAGUUUAAGGCAAUAACAGGUCUGUGAUGCCCUUAGAUGUCCUGGGCUGCACGCGCGCUACACUGAUGCGUUCAUCGAGUUUAUCCUUGGCCGAGAGGCCUCUGGGUAAUCUUUAGUACGCAUCGUGAUGGGGAUCGAUUAUUGCAAUUAUUAAUCGUGAACGAGGAAUGCCUAGUAUGCGCAAGUCACCAGCUUGUGCAGAUUACGUCCCUGCCUUUGGNNU